rnacentral:rRNA from 1 species
CCUACGGGUGGCUGCAGUGAGGAAUAUUGGACAAUGGGUGCAAGCCUGAUCCAGCCAUCCCGCGUGAAGGAUUAAGGACCUAUGGUUUGUAAACUUCUUUUGUACAGGGAUAAACCUAUCUACGUGUAGAUAGCUGAAGGUACUGUACGAAUAAGCACCGGCUAACUCCGUGCCAGCAGCCGCGGUAAUACGGAGGGUGCAAGCGUUAUCCGGAUUUAUUGGGUUUAAAGGGUCCGUAGGCGGAUCUAUAAGUCAGUGGUGAAAGCCGACAGCUU